GAUCAUGGCUCAGAUUGAACGCUGGCGGCAGGCCUAACACAUGCAAGUCGAGCGGUAGCACAGAGAGCUUGCUCUCGGGUGACGAGCGGCGGACGGGUGAGUAAUGUCUGGGAAACUGCCUGAUGGAGGGGGAUAACUACUGGAAACGGUAGCUAAUACCGCAUAAUGUCGCAAGACCAAAGUAGGGGACCGUUCGGGUCCGUCAUGCCAUCAGAUGUGCCACGAUGGG
rnacentral:rRNA from 1 species